UACAGAGGUCCCAAGCGUUGUUCGGAUUCACUGGGCGUAAAGGGUGCGUAGGUGGUGAGGUAAGUCGGAUGUGAAAUCUCCGAGCUCAACUCGGAAAUGGCAUUGGAAACUACCUUGCUCGAGGGUUGGAGGGGGGACUGGAAUACUUGGUGUAGCAGUGAAAUGCGUAGAUAUCGUAAGGAAGACCAGUGGCGAAGGCGAGUCUCUGGACAGUUACUGACGCUGAGGCACGAAGGCCAGGGGAGCAAACGGG
rnacentral:rRNA from 1 species